GACGAACGCUGGCGGCGUGCCUAAUACAUGCAAGUAGAACGCACAGUUUAUACCGUAGCUUGCUACACCAUAGACUGUGAGUUGCGAACGGGUGAGUAACGCGUAGGUAACCUGCCUGGUAGCGGGGGAUAACUAUUGGAAACGAUAGCUAAUACCGCAUAAUAUUAAUUAUUGCAUGAUAACUAAUCGAAAGGUGCAAUCGCACCACCACCAGAUGGACCUGCGUUGUAUUAGCUAGCAGGCGAGGUAACGGCCCCCCUAGGCGACGACACAUCGCCGGGCUGGGAGGGUGGUCGGCCACGCUGGGACGGGGACACGGCCCGGACUCCUGCGGGGGGCAGCAGUAGGGGAUCUUCGGCGAUGGGCGGAAGGCUGACCGGGCGACGCCGCGUGGGUGGAGAAGGUUUUCGGGUCGUAAAGCUCUGUUGUGAGGGAAGAACGGGUGUGGGAGUGGAAAGUUCACACUGUGACGGUGUCUUACCAGAAAGGGACGGCUAACUACGUG
rnacentral:rRNA from 1 species